rnacentral:sRNA from 1 species
AAAUAAACCUGAUUGCAUGGAUGCUGUAAACGAUGAAUUAAAUUUGAAGGAAACUUCACAGCAGGAAGGAAAGCAGGACUAUUU